rnacentral:rRNA from 1 species
GACGAACGCUGGCGGCGUGCUUAACGCAUGCAAGUCGAACGGUGAAGGGGUCUGCUUUUGUGGGCCCUGGAUGAGUGGCGAACGGGUGAGUAACACGUGAGUAACCUGCCCCCUUCUUCUGGAUAACCGCAUGAAAGUGUGGCUAAUACGGGAUAUUCUGGGUCUGUCGCAUGAUGGGUCUGGGAAAGAUUGCGCCUUUGGGUGUUUUUGGUGGGGGAUGGGCUCGCAGCCUAUCAGCUUGUUGGUGGGGUGAUGGCCUACCAAGGCGGUGACGGGUAGCCGGCCUGAGAGGGGGGACGGUCACACUGGGACUGAGACACGGCCCAGACUCCUACGGGAGGCAGCAGUGGGGAAUAUUGCACAAUGGGCGCAAGCCUGAUGCAGCGACGCCGCGUGAGGGAUGGAGGCCUUCGGGUUGUAAACCUCUUUCGCCAGUGAAGCAGGCCUGCUCCUUGUGGGUGGGUUGACGGUAGCUGGAUAAGAAGCGCCGGCUAACUACGUG